UAUCUUGAGAUCGAUGUUGACAUCGGUAGCUCCGCAAUUGCUAAUGCGAUCCUCCAUCUUGCCCUAGGCUAUGUUACUGCUGUGACGAUUGAUAUGGGGUUUUUGGUUGAGGCGCAGGCCGAGGAUGAGUUGCCGGAGCGGUUGUUCGGGGCGGUGAGGGUGGCGCAGAUGGAGAUGUCGUCGGCGACAUUUGUUGAUAAUAGGGCGGCGAAGGCGGG
rnacentral:misc_RNA from 1 species